CCUACGGUGUGCAGCAGUCGAGAAUCAUUCACAAUGGGGGAAACCCUGAUGGUGCGACGCCGCGUGGGGGAAUGAAGGUCUUCGGAUUGUAAACCCCUGUCAUGUGGGAGCAACUUAAAAAGAUAGUACCACAAGAGGAAGCGACGGCUAACUCUGUGCCAGCAGCCGCGGUAAUACAGGGGUCUCAAGCGUUGUUCGGAAUGACUGGGCGUAAAGCGUGCGUCGGCUGUUUCGUAAGUCGUGUGUGAAAGGCGCGGGCUCAACCCGCGGACGGCACGUGAUACUGCGAGACUAGAGUAAUGGAGGGGGAGCCGGAAUUCGCGGUGUAGCAGUGAAAUGCGUAGAUA
rnacentral:rRNA from 1 species